rnacentral:misc_RNA from 1 species
UCGAUAGAGAGUCCCUAAUUACAUUGUUGCCCAUCUCUAGCGAGAUUAUAUGAAAGGCAUGACCAUUGAACGCAAGUUCUUCUGAUUGGCAACUAGUAUAUUUUAGCUUCUGAUGUCGUACAUUAAAUUUUAACGAAAAGUUAAUUAUAAACCUUUUAAGACUUGAUCUCGAGUCAGACAAGACUACCCGCUGAACUUAA